rnacentral:rRNA from 1 species
GGGGAAUAUUGGACAAUGGGCGCAAGCCUGAUCCAGCCAUGCCGCGUGAGUGAUGAAGGCCCUAGGGUUGUAAAGCUCUUUCACCGGUGAAGAUAAUGACGGUAACCGGAGAAGAAGCCCCGGCUAACUUCGUGCCAGCAGCCGCGGUAAUACGAAGGGGGCUAGCGUUGUUCGGAUUUACUGGGCGUAAAGCGCACGUAGGCGGACUUUUAAGUCAGGGGUGAAAUCCCGGGGCUCAACCCCGGAACUGCCUUUGAUACUGGAAGUCUUGAGUAUGGUAGAGGUGAGUGGAAUUGCGAGUGUAGAGGUGAAAUUCGUAGAUAUUCGCAGGAACACCAGUGGCGAAGGCGGCUCACUGGACCAUUACUGACGCUGAGGUGCGAAAGCGUGGGGAGCAAAC